AACGAACGCUGGCGGCAUGCCUAACACAUGCAAGUCGAACGAGACCUUCGGGUCUAGUGGCGCACGGGUGCGUAACGCGUGGGAACCUGCCCUUAGGUUCGGAAUAACUCCCCGAAAGGGGUGCUAAUACCGGAUAAUGUCUUCGGACCAAAGAUUUAUCGCCUUUGGAUGGGCCCGCGUUGGAUUAGCUAGUUGGUAGGGUAAAAGCCUACCAAGGCGACGAUCCAUAGCUGGUCUGAGAGGAUGAUCAGCCACACUGGGACUGAGACACGGCCCAGACUCCUACGGGAGGCAGCAGUGGGGAAUAUUGGACAAUGGGCGAAAGCCUGAUCCAGCAAUGCCGCGAGUGAUGAAGGCCUUAGGGUUGUAAAGCUCUUUUACCCGGGAUGAUAAUGACAGUACCGGGAGAAUAAGCUCCGGCUAACUCCGUG
rnacentral:rRNA from 1 species